rnacentral:rRNA from 1 species
GAUGAACGCUGGCGGCGUGCUUAACACAUGCAAGUCGAACGGAAAGGCUCCUGCUUGCCGGGGUACUCGAGUGGCGAACGGGUGAGUAACACGUGGGUGAUCUGCCCUGCACUUCGGGAUAAGCCUGGGAAACUGGGUCUAAUACCGGAUAGGACCACAUUUUGGAUGGUGUGGUGGAAAGUUUUUCGGUGUGGGAUGAGCUCGCGGCCUAUCAGCUUGUUGGUGGGGUAAUGGCCUACCAAGGCGUCGACGGGUAGCCGGCCUGAGAGGGUGUACGGCCACAUUGGGACUGAGAUACGGCCCAGACUCCUACGGGAGGCAGCAGUGGGGAAUAUUGCACAAUGGGCGCAAGCCUGAUGCAGCGACGCCGCGUGGGGGAUGACGGCCUUCGGGUUGUAAACUCCUUUCGCCAGGGACGAAGCGCAAGUGACGGUACCUGGAGAAGAAGCACCGGCUAACUACGUG